UUCUUCACUGAUUCAAAGAAUCAGUUCUUCAAACCCAAAAAAAAGAAACGAGCGAGGAGGGAGGGAAAACAGAGGAGGUCGAAGCAGGGGAGGCGAGCGAGGACGGUGGCACUGGCGGUUGUGGCGCGCCGGCAAGGUUCAGGCGAGGAGGGUGGUUUAGAAAGUGGGUGCGAGUGAGGAUGGUUUGGGCGCGGGCUAUAAAGGCGAGAACAGGAGCUGCGAAGGGGAGGUGUUUGGGCUGGCGGUCGAAAUUGGGUCCAGUGGUUCAGGUGGUUUGAGUAGGUGGUUCAGUUGGUUCGAGUGGUAGUUAAUGGCUGUGCGGUGGUUCAUAGAAACAAAGGAAGUGUUAAUGGUGGAUUGAAAUUUUUAUUUUUAAUUUUCAAAACAAAAUUCAGAAAUUGAAGCAAACCUUUGAAUUGUUUGCUUGAGCAAUUUAGGUGAAUGCAAUUCAGUAUUUAUAGAGGGGUGUUUGUCAGAAUUUGAGCUUUGGGUCAAGCUUCAUUAAUGGUGGAGGUGAGGUGAGCUUGGUGUUAGGCUAGCUUUUGAAAUUUUACCCCUUAAAAAUCUGAAAUUUCAUGAGAUAGGGUUCAAAGUCUCUAGCAUAGGCUUGGAUACAAUUAGUUCCUUGUUGCAAGUGAUGGAACUUAGCAAAGUUCUCUUGUACACAAUAAAUUGGUUACAAACACUAGCCCAUCAUGUUGAUGCCUACUUUCUAAGUUUUCAUGCAACCAACUUCACUCUUUUAUCCUCCGGAACUUGCUUAUAAUUAAAGACUCCCUCCACGGUUCUAAGCCAUUCUACAAACUCGUUAGUGUCAAGUUUGCCAUCAUAAUCAGGCAUAUCUACCUUCAUAUCACUAGAAGGACGAAAGUUAUUCCUUCUUGGACGCAAGGUUUCAUCACUACCUCCAUCUGAAUCAUCUUCUUCUUCUCUUUGAGUAGUGAGUCUAACUGAGAGUUGCCUCACUUGAUCUUAUAAUAAUGUCAUUCAAGCAUUACUUUCACCCUUUCUUCUUCAAGUAUUCUUAUUGUUUCACGCCAAUUGACAAGUGAUUAUCUCCAUAUCUCAUAGUUAAGGUUUGAAGGGUACGAGUGUUUUUAAGUGGUUUUUGUAUUUACAGUUUUUAGGAAAAGGUUGGGGCGAGGUUUAGGUUGUGUUUAUGGAUUAAUGGUGGGUGAAUAUGGUAGGAUUUAAGCUGAGUUCUGAUACCAUGAUGAUGUAUGCUCCUACAUACAAGUAGGAACACAAAAGUGUUAAGAUUAAACAAGCAAAGAAGAAUCGAAAGAACUCCUCUGUUUCAAUUCUAACUCUAAUUGAGAUACAAAUACACCACCUCAACGAAUUUAGAACCUCCUAAGAUCACAAACUAGCUUAGCCAAAGCUAAUUAAGCAAAGGACGAAUUCUCAAAGUUACCAAAACCAAGAAAUGAAAAGAAAGCAUUUGGUCGUGCUUAGGCGCCACUUUUAUAGGAACUAACUCCACUUUUGUAGGAACCAACUCUUAUUUUUCUUGUGCUUCUCUUGCUUGUGGGCGUGCUUUCAUAAUCCUAACAGCUUCAUACACGUUCUAUUACAUGACUCAACACUAAGCAAAGUUUUUAGAAAAACAAAACAGCAACAACAACCGACAACAACAAAGGAAAGAAGACUUAAGGCAUUGAAGCUGAAAUUAAUGGAAUUGAGCUUUAAAUAACUAGACUUAACAUGGACUCAUCAUUAAUGAACAAAGAAUGCAAAUGAAUUCAAAGUCUCUCGCAAAGUAGAAGCCACCAUUGUAAUUAGCUUCGGAUGCUUCGACAAAUAAGAUGAAGUAGAUGCAAAGGGUCCUCCAUCAACCAGCAACCACUGACGAUGUCCAUGAACCAUGCCACCACAUUUGCCAUUUCUAGUACAUUCAAUGAAAUGAUUGACAAACACAAUCAACCUUAAAAAUUUUGUAUUCAGCCUACAAAUUUUUGCAUUGAAAUGUCAAAGUAUAAACUUUAAUUAUGUUUUAAACGUUGUCAAAAUAUUAUUAUGGUCGAUCAAAAUUUCAUAAUAUGGUAAACUUUUAUAAUGAAAUAUAAAUUCGAUUAGCUAUUUGAUUCUGAUCACCCUCGCCAACAGUAGUCCGUCAAAAAUCAUCCUUCAUUGAACAAAAUUUCUAUUACAAUCAGAGGCUAAGGUUAAUCAUACGGAUACAAGAGGAAUAGUGAUUUACAGGUACAAGAACAUCAACAGGCUCCCCAAGUACUAAACACAUAAUACAUCCACACGUUUGUUUGCUGUAAUCUUUGUAAUACUUAUACUCAACUUUUAAAUCACUCAUCUGUAGCACAAUAGUAAACUAGAGUACCUCUUCUCACCCUGUUCUGUACCCAUUGCCGCUUUCUAUAUAAAUCAAGAUCCGAACCUUCUUCAUCUUACCAUAGAAGACUUGAAUGUGAGGUGAGUAAUGUUCUAGUCAUGGUCACUCAAAACAGAAAUAAUUGAACUUUAUGUCUAUCCAUCCGUCUAACUAGCUUGAAAAUUAAGAAAGAAAUGCAGUUUUUGAACCAGAAGCUCAGAAGAUCCAUAUAUAGGCUUGCUGUUGUUCAUCCAGUCUUUCUCCAAAAGCCCCAUUUUAGCACUAGCGUG